UAGAGCAAGAUAUGAUACUCAACAACCCAUCAACUUGAAUGCGGCGAAAUACGAGGCGCAAAAUCCCUUAACUUGUCGCGCAUCAUUGUGGCGUUACGCGUUGUGCAUCGAAGAUGCUCGUUUUUCACCCCGCGCCACAACUUGUCACACCAAUGCGGGUUCUGCCCGGUCAUUUGGUGAUUCAUAGUAACUGUUCGAAUCGCAGGGCCUCGCGCCGGCGAUGUUUCAUUCAAAUUUCUGCCCUAUCAACUGUCGAUGGUAAGGUGGUGGCUUACCAUGGUUACAACGGGUGACGGAGAAUUAG
rnacentral:ncRNA from 1 species